rnacentral:lncRNA from 1 species
UUUUUUUACAUUUAUUUUAUUUGAAGCUUAGAAAAAUUUAGGUUGGAGUUUUGGUUGAAGGCUGGGUUGCUGCCUUUUCCCCUUUUAUCUGAACGAGCUCACUCAGACCUAAUCUUCAUCAUCUAAACCACAUGAUUAACACACAAAAUAACUUUGGAGCAAGCCAGGUCCAAGCAGGAAGCUGCAAGUACUAUCAUGUUUUCAUGAUAUUAGCCAGCAAAAAAACUGUGGUUUCUUCAGGUUUUUGGGGUUUUUUUCUUCUUUUUUCAUUCUCUACAUCUAUGUUUUCCUUGAAAGGGCUUGUGUUUUUGUGUUGGAAACUUUCAGGUUUACAAUCUCACUCCCAGAGGGAAUGCUUAUUCUCCCAGACAAUUCCCACAAGGCUGGGGCAGGCCUGGACCCUUUUGCAAAAUGGCUAAGGAUGACUCCCACUCUGCUCAGGUUUGUCAGUCAAACCAAACCAUCCAGCCAAAGAGCACCUCUCCCACCUCGUCCAGUUUAAAAGAAAGCAGGUAUGACUGUAUCGUGUGAGGGGACUGGUCCUGCUGGUGUGUAUUAGGUUUGUUCAGAAUAUUCCAUCUGAAUUGGCUGCCCUGAGAAAAUAGACACUUCUUUCAGGAUCUCAGUGGGUUUUAGGUGGGAACUCUGUACUAAGCUGCUCAGGUCACAGCAGUUCUGGGCAUGUCUAGACAUAAAGUUGCUGGUAGUGGAAGAAAUGUUAUCCUGAGUAGGGAGGAACCUACUGAGUUGUAGGUGCUUAAGUCCUCUUUUGCAUCUGGCCCUAACUUGCAAGAGAGGAAGAGCCAAGUGCUCAAAGGCAGCUCCCAUUUUAUGGCUCUAAAUCAUGCAAAAAAAAAUCUGGACUCAAUAAUUUUGUACCUGCAUUUGUAUUGGAGGUGAGCGAGAGCCUUGACCAGGCAGGGAGAGACUCUGAUUCUCUGCCUUUUCUCUGCUCUGUGGAUUCAGAAAGGAAGAGAGGUGUCGUGCCAGCAGAAAUUAUAGUCCCCAUGUGUGUCAUACACGCCUAUGCAAAGCUCUGUGGUUGGUAUACUGGGUGCUUGUUGGGCAAUGGUGUGGAGAAGGCCGGCUUCCUUGGAACAUUUUCUGUUCAUUGUACUGUUCCUUCCCAGCAUUUCACAAGCCACCACAAAGAAGAUGACAAAAAUGGGGAAAAAAAAACCUUCUUAAAAUGAAUUGUGUGUCUCUUCUCUUAGUACCCCAACAACCUUGGCAAGCUCAAUGGAGCCACGCAGAACUAGUCUUUGCUGGAUGUUACUCUUUGCACAAUUUUAUGAUAAUUUUGGGGAGUUUACAUGAUGGAAUGGUGAAAGCACAAGGAGGGAAGUCAGGACUCUUCGCCUUCAUUCCUGGUUCUGCCACCAAGAUGCUGUGCGUAUUGGCACUGCCUAUAUAAACUCUUUUGGUUGUCUCAUUGGCAUGAACCUUGUUAUAUGUAUUUGCUGCUUCUGCCAUUUCUAGGGCUAUCUGAGGCUCCAAUCAAAACAAUAGCAAAAUGUCCAAAUUAAUCUGUAA